rnacentral:rRNA from 2 species
UUCCGGUUGAUCCUGCCGGACCUGACUGCUAUCGGAUUGAUACUAAGCCAUGCGAGUCAUUGUAGCAAUACAAGGCAUACGGCUCAGUAACGCGUAGUCGACCUACCCUAUGGACGGAAAUAACCUCGGGAAACUGAGAAUAAUAUCCGAUAGAACAUUAUGCCUGGAAUGGUUUAUGUUCCAAAUGAUUUAUCGCCGUAGGAUGGGACUGCGGCCUAUCAGUUUGUUGGUGAGGUAAUGGCCCACCAAGACUAUUACAGGUACGGGCUCUGAGAGGAGUAGCCCGGAGAUGGGUACUGAGACACGGACCCAGGCCCUAUGGGGCGCAGCAGGCGAGAAAACUUUGCAAUGUGCGAAAGCACGACAAGGUUAAUCCGAGUGAUUUCUGCUAAAGAAAUCUUUUGUUAGUCCUAGAAACACUAACGAAUAAGGGGUGGGCAAGUUCUGGUGUCAGCCGCCGUGGUAAAACCAGCACCUCAAGUGGUCAGGAUGAUUAUUGGGCCUAAAGCAUCCGUAGCCGGCUCUGUAAGUCCUCGGUUAAAUCUGUACGCUUAACGUACAGGCUGCCGGGAAUACUGCAUAGCUAGGGAGUGGGAGAGGUGGACGGUACUCGGUAGGAAGGGGUAAAAUCCUUUGAUCUAUUGAUGACCACCUGUGGCGAAGGCGGUCUACCAGAACACGUCCGACGGUGAGGGAUGAAAGCUGGGGGAGCAAACCGGAUUAGAUACCCGGGUAGUCCCAGCUGUAAACUAUGCAAACUCAGUGAUGCAUUGGCUUGUGGCCAAUGCAGUGCUGCAGGGAAGCCGUUAAGUUUGCCGCCUGGGAAGUACGUACGCAAGUAUGAAACUUAAAGGAAUUGGCGGGGGAGCACCACAA